AGGUAACACAGUCUCUAGUAGUUCUUAUUCCUAGACCACAGGUAACACAGUCUCUAGUAGUUCUUAUUCCUAGACCACAGAUAACACAGUCUCUAGUAGUUCUUAUUCCUAGACCACAGAUAACACAGUCUCUAGUAGUUCUUAUUCCUAGACCACAGAUAACACAGUCUCUAGUAGUUCUUAUUCCUAGACCACAGGUAACACAGUCUCUAGUAGUUCUUAUUCCUAGACCACAGGUAACACAGUCUCUAGUAGUUCUUAUUCCUAGACCACAGGUAACACAGUCUCUAGUAGUUCUUAUUCCUAGACCACAGGUAACACAGUCUCUAGUAGUUCUUAUUCCUAGACCACAGGUAACACAGUCUCUAGUAGUUCGUAUUCACAGGUAAUUCAUGAUGUAUAAGUAGAUGGUUUCACCAUCAAAGUGAACCAGUCAUUGUCCUCAGUUGACCUGACAUACACCACACACACACACACACACACACACACACACACACACACACACACACACACACACACACACACACACACACACACACACACACACACACACACACACACACACACACACAGUCUUGUAUACUUAAGCUUGUGGGGAAACACAAUUCAGUCCCAUUCAAAAUGCUAUUUUCCCUAACCCCAUACUCUUACCUUAACCCAAAAUCCUAACCUUAAUACUAACCCUAGCUCCUA